rnacentral:lncRNA from 1 species
GGAAUCUUAUCCUCAUCUGGUAAGUAGUCAAAUACCACAUAUUAUAUAAUUAUUUAAAUACCAAAUUUGUGCAAAUAUAUGUCCCACAUAUUUUAUAAUACAUGAGUUCGCCAGUUCGGCAAAUAUUUACUAUACUAUCUAUAGUUAAAUAUUGCCGUAUCUUCGGCGUAGAGUUUACAUGGAAUGCACUCUGGAAUUUUUUUAUUAAUAUAUUACACUGUAUAAAAUAUUGGAUAUUUUCGAGGAUAUUUUUAAUAAGCCAUUUAUCAACAUAGUUCACAAAAAGAUUUAUACAGUAUUAAAAACAAUCCUUCUGUGACUUCUGUAAUAUUUUAAACAGUGAAAACAUUCUCAGGAGAUAUUGAAUUAAAUCCUGGUCCUGUAUUUCUGUAUAUUGACUCCAUAACUCUGUUCAAAACAACAGUCCAACUAUAAAGCUGUCAUCAAAUGUAGUGUUAGAGCAAAGGUUGAAGAUGUUAUCAGUUAAAAUACUUAUACAUUUUGGUUUUACACAUUAGAGUUAAUUAAACAAAAUUUUUACAAACAUUUUCAAAUAAAAGAAUCCUCACCCUCCCGAGCCUCAUUACAUUGUCAUUUUGCUUUCUAACAUAAAUAUUUUUCUUUAGAGAUUAAUACAAGAAUGAAGAAUAAAUGUACUGGAUAUUGGCUGGAUAAUUUUGUCAGAACAAUCAACUUGCAAGACAAUCUUACCUAAAUUCAUUAGUAUGGAAAAUAACUUAACAGCUAUACAAUGAGUAAUCAUAUAUUAUAUGGUGGAUUUGAUCAAUGGCACACAAUGUGCAAAACUAAACUUGUGAUACCUUCUACUCAAACCGAUAAUCUCCCACAACACGAUUCUUUUUGUGUGAAUGUGCUGUAUGUGUUAAACCGAACAGUAUGGUAUAUCAUUAACUGUGCACAGAACUGGAAUUUAAUUAUAUACUUCACUCAUGACUUUCAAAACAUCCUCAAUUAUUCAGUGGUCUUCGACAUGUUCACCAAAUAUUUUGUGUAUGUUACUCAACAGUUAACAUUGGCAAGUGUAAACAACAAGUGACAUAACUUUUGCUUCAUAUGAUUACAAUAAAGUUUUGGAAAUUUGAUGAGUAUGGAUUGAAUUGACAGGUAACAGUUUACUAAAUAGCCUGCUGUAUAGACACUUUGAAUAUUGUUUGCA